rnacentral:pre_miRNA from 1 species
GUAGUAUUCCCUCCGUCCCAAAAUUCUUGUCUUACAUUUGUUUAGAUACGGAUGUAUCUAACACUAAAAUGUAACUAGAUACAUCCGUAUUUAGAUAAAUUUAAGACAAGAAUUUUGGGACGGAAGGAGUACAAA